UGGGGAAUAUUGCACAAUGGGGGAAAACCUGAUGCAGCGACGCCGCGUGAGCGAAGAAGGCUUUCGAGUCGUAAAGCUCUGUCCUAUGAGAAGAUAAUGACGGUAUCAUAGGAGGAAGCCCUGGCUAAAUACGUGCCAGCAGCCGCGGUAAUACGUAUGGGGCGAGCGUUGUCCGGAAUUAUUGGGCGUAAAGGGUACGUAGGCGGUUUUUUAAGUCAGGUGUCAAAGCGUGGAGCUUAACUCCAUUAAGCACUUGAAACUGAAAGACUUGAGUGAAGGAGAGGAAAGUGGAAUUCCUAGUGUAGCGGUGAAAGGCGUAGAUAUUAGGAGGAAUAACGGUGGCGAAGGCGACUUUCUGGACUUUUACUGACGCUCAGGUACGAAAGCGUGGGGAGCAAACAGG
rnacentral:rRNA from 1 species